AGCUGUGUGCAGUGGCAGUAUCAUAGCCAAUGAGGUUUAUCCGAGGCGCGAUUAUUGCUAAUUGAAAACCUGUUAGUACACUAAAAGUAAACAAAGUUCAGUAGCUUAAUAAGUAUUGUAUAACUCCUAAAUAUAAUUAAAAUCA
ensembl:snRNA U4 U4 spliceosomal RNA